rnacentral:rRNA from 1 species
UACGGAGGGUGCAAGCGUUGUUCGGAAUUAUUGGGCGUAAAGGGCAGGUAGGUGGUCCCAAAAGUCUACUGUGAAAUCCCCGGGCUUAACCCGGGAAGUGCGGUAGAUACUCUGGGACUAGAGUGCUGGAGGGGUUCGUGGAAUUCCCGGUGUAGCGGUGAAAUGCGUAGAUAUCAGGAGGAACACCGAUGGCGAAGGCAGGUCUCUGGGCCGAUACUGACGCUGAGGAGCGAAAGCGUGGGGAGCGAACAGG